rnacentral:lncRNA from 1 species
ACCGCCUAUAAACGAGGAGAGCAUUUGAUUGGGUGGUUCAAACAAGGCUGCGGGUCCCCACCCGAAGCUUGCGUCGGCGGUUUCGCACGUUUGACGUCAGGUGGUUGGAAUAAAAACAGAUUGGAAUAGUUUUGCAUUUUACAACCCCAGGUG